ACAUGUCUACAACAUAGCAUUAAUGCACUAGAGCCCAUUAUAACUCCAUGGUUAAGUGUGCUCGGGCUAGAGUAGUACUGGGAUGGGUGACUUCUUAGAAAGUCCUAGUGUUUUACAUGCC
rnacentral:rRNA from 1 species